AAUGAAGCUCCGGAACAAGGUCUGCGAUCGCAUAAUCGAUAUGCGGACCGCAUAUCGGCCGCAUAAUUGGUGUCCAAAGCUGGCAAAAAUCUGCCUGGGUCUGCGGUCGCAUGGCAUCCAAACUGCCCCUCUCCUGCCUCACACUGCGGCCAUUAUGCGGUCCGCAGAGUGAUUCUGCGGUCGCAUAAUGGACCGCAGAAACGUAUUUCUCUGCCAAAAUUUUUUCCUUUAUCCCUCAGUGCAUUGUUCAACCCAAAAAGUCCGAUCCGGCACCACGAAACAUUAUAUUUCUUUUUUCAAAAUUUUACGGGGCCUUACAUGUCUAUUCAGUGAUUCUUUGCAGCUAUUGCGGCUACAAUGUUGUUCGCUUACUGACCAUGAAUUUUAUAAUGUUCAAAAUUGUAGAACUGACCCCAAUUGCUACUUGGGAGCGACAAAUUUUAAUAUUGAUGGACUCUGAACAAACAAACAAGUGUCCUUACUCUUGAAAGAAAUGUCUUGAUAGGAAUGUUAGACGGCGUGAACAAUAUAAACUUAAGGAGGCGAAUGAAAAGAGUGUACUAUCGUUACAACAAGUGCUUAGAAAUCAAGCGCUGAAACGUAGUCCCUUUGAAAGAGAUACUUCUGUCAUUUCUACUGAGAUAACAACAACAUCAUGACAUGUGCAGUGUACUCCUAAUACAGCAGACUCUUGCUCUACUCCCAAAAUAGGUUAAUAUAUCAAUUGUAUAAUUUAUCGCAAUCUGUAUAGUACACGCAAUUGUUUCAUUAUUUAUCACAAAUGAAAUUUCUGUCUGUGCAUGAAUAUCUAUCUUAAAUUCAAUACUGUGAACAUUAUUAUUGCCUACUACGCAGACAGUAAGGUUACAGUCCUUUCAUCAUUCCCUGCUUUUGACAAGGGAAAUCCUAUUUGCAUCUAUGAGAAAGGUAAGUUACUAAAAGUUUCCGUACACUUGCACCAAUAUAUGAAACUCAUUAAGGUUCAUUGAAGAACUAUUUAUCUGUUGGGUUCGACGUCAGCUGCACCUAAUAAAGAAUACACCGCAAUUGAGAUAGUGUUAUUUCAUCUAAACACAUAUGUUAUUUUGGCUCAAUAUAAAUGUUCAUCUGCUUACUGUUACAACUAUAGACUCAGAUUAUUAUUGCUUCAGUGCCAUUAGCUCUUGAACCUCUUUCUGUAAUCUCAUGUUUUCUUCUGUCAGAUUCUCAACACACCUCUUCAAGAACUCACAAUCCACUUGCUUCAAUUUUGUCCUGGUAACAUGCACCUAUAGAUGCUGAUGCCAACAUGCUUCAGGAAUAGUUUAUUUACCUAUUGUUCAUACAAGAUUUAACGUCGACAAAACAGAUCAUGACUUCUUCUGGUAGCCGAUUUAUGCAAAUUCUUUCUGUUGGAAUCCGUGGUUCAGCGCUUGGACCGCAAUUUGUGGCUGAGGCAUUGGCUCCUGAUAACCCUCCUCUCCUCUGAAGAGGUCCAAAGAAAUAAAUACAGAAGCUGUUAGAAGAUCAAGAAUAUCUUUCUGAUAUUGAUGGCAACUCAGGGUGCACUACAAGUUUGGCAACGUAUACUUGGGAUAUAUAUAUAGCUGAUCCAGUCAAUUAAAAGAUACAAUAUGAGGAACUGUUUUGUCAAAUUACUUUCCAAAUUGAUACUAUGAAACGAAUUGAUUUCAUCGACCUUGGUGCUAUGGGAUUGGACACGGGAACUCAAUUGCUGAAAUUGAAUUUCUUCGUCCUUGGUUAUGAUAUAAUGUGUUGCAUCUUUCAUAUUCGCUGCUGGAAAAGCUUCCACUAGGGGCGGAUUUAGGGGGCGGAAGGGUGUUCACCCGAACCCCCUUCGCCGAAAAAUUACAGUGUAUAUGUAAGGCAAAAUUUAUUUUUUACCUCUUUAUAUUAUGUUUUGAAUUCCCUUGACACAACCCAAAAGCAUAGCUUAGUGGUGAAGGGAGCUCAAAACAUUUGUAAGGUCAUUGGUUCUAUUCCCACCAGCUACAUCCUUUUUUGCGUUUGCUUCCAGAUGCUUAGAUUUGUCAUUGCCAUAACAUACUUCAUAUACAUAUUAGUACUAUAGGUUCUGUUCAAUGUAACUACUACCUGUGGAUUUCUACAUAUCCACAAGAUUAAAUACUCUUCUAUCCGUG